UUCGUGGCUUCUGCCUUAUAUUUAUUCUUCCCAUGGGCAUGGCCUCCAGAGAGAGACAAAACGCGAUCUGAAAAAUCCACAUCAAUCUCCAGCUGCUGGCCGUAGGCGGUAUAGCAUACAGUCCAGACAGUCAGAUAGAGAGGCACCUCAUCAGUCGUGCAUUAUUGCCCUCUUGUACGUACACGGCAGUUUUAAAUUGAAAAAAUAUGGCCGAGAACGAGGGUAGGUUCCGCUGGGAUUCGAAUCUGGACACUUUUUUUUGCAGGAGCUGCGUUCAAUUGCUUGACGACGGGCUAAUAACCCAGAGGCAGCCCUCCUUACAUGACGAGGCUCUGGAAUACUUGUCGCAAAAAUUUUCUACGGUGAAUUCAACAGUUUCAAAAAAGACUCUGAUGAACAAAUGGAACUGUAUGAAACAGCUGUAUGACAGUUAUGUUCUGUUUCGUAUCCACUCGUCAAAUAUGGGAGAGUUGAAAAGCCGCAGGAUGUACAUAAAAAAGACAAAGAAAUGUGCGAACGUAUUUAAGCAUAUGAUAAAUGAACCACCUAAGAAUUUGGAUCUACUUAAAAGAUUGUUCCACGACGAAGAUCAAGGGACACCGCCAUCAUCCCCGCCACACCCAUCGUUCGAGCCACAGUCAUCGUUCAUGCCAGAGUCGUCGUCCCCGCCACAGUCGUCAUCAUUCAUGCCAGGGUCGUCGUCCCCGCCACAGUCGUCAGUGUCAUCCUCGUAACUUUCCUUUAUUUUAUGGAUAGGGUAUGCAUGUAUAUCCUACCACAUUUAGGGACGAAUGUUGAUACCCGAAUUGUUAGGACAAGUUUAAUAAUAUUUUUAAAUUAUAUAUAUGUAUGAAAUUUGAUGUCAAUCUUUUAUCAAGCACAUUAUUACAG
rnacentral:misc_RNA from 1 species